rnacentral:rRNA from 1 species
UACGUAGGGUGUAAGCGUUAAUCGGAAUUACUGGGCGUAAAGCGUGCGCAGGCGGUUUUGUAAGUCUGUCGUGAAAGCCCCGGGCUCAACCUGGGAAUUGCGAUGGAGACUGCAAGGCUUGAAUCUGGCAGAGGGGGGUAGAAUUCCACGUGUAGCAGUGAAAUGCGUAGAGAUGUGGAGGAACACCGAUGGCGAAGGCAGCCCCCUGGGUCAAGAUUGACGCUCAUGCACGAAAGCGUGGGGAGCGAACGGG